rnacentral:rRNA from 1 species
UUUUUAUGAGAGUUUGAUCCUGGCUCAGGACGAACGCUGGCGGCGUGCCUAAUACAUGCAAGUCGAACGCUUCUUUUUCCACCGGAGCUUGCUCCACCGGAAAAAGAGGAGUGGCGAACGGGUGAGUAACACGUGGGUAACCUGCCCAUCAGAAGGGGAUAACAC